GCCGCCGGCCUGCUGAGGACCUGGGGCCGGUUGUGUACCGCCCGCGGCAGCGCUGCGGUGUGUCGGCCGGCCCGUGCCUCAGUAACCCAUACAGCUCUGCGGGGAGGGCGGUGGAAACAACCACAAAGGGGGAGAGCACUUGUGAAGCUGCUGAUGGUCCCCACUUAACUGAACUUGGGUUCACACUGUGGAGUGGCUCUAAAAUGCAAAAUAAAAUCCUUUCCUGGGAAAGAAAGUGGAAGCGGAGAAUCCAGGAGUGCAUCUGACUGGCUGCAUCUGCUAAUGGGCAUGGAGUCCAUGGCACCACUAGAGCCUGUCCGGGUAAAGCCCUAGAGCACUGUCAGCAUAGACUUUAGCUGCUCUGCCAUGGUCGGGCUCUGCUGGUUUGUUCCUAUUGCACCACACUUCAUGCGCAUGUAGACACAGCCAGUCUCUGCCAAGUGGUUUUUGCACUACGUCCAGGGUUUUGAAGGAAUAGAGUGAUGUAGAAAUACACUGUCUCAGGCACUGGUGACUAUGUUUUGUGCCAAAUGCAUCUAGGUUCCAUCUGCCAAACAGAAAAACAUAUUAUGAUUGUAUCUACUACACUAAUUGUUCCUUCAU